AGUUUAUUUGAUAGUACCUUUACUUGGAUAACUGUGGUAAUUCUAGAGCUAAUACAUGCUAAAAACCUCGACUUCGGAAGGGGUGUAUUUAUUAGAUAAAAAACCAAUGCCCUUCGGGGCUCCUUGGUGAUUCAUGAUAACUUAACGAAUCGCAUGGCCUUGCGCCGGCGAUGGUUCAUUCAAAUUUCUGCCCUAUCAACUUUCGAUGGUAGGAUAGUGGCCUACCAUGGUUUUAACGGGUAACGGGGAAUUAGGGUUCUAUUCCGGAGAGGGAGCCUGAGAAACGGCUACCACAUCCAAGGAAGGCAGCAGGCGCGCAAAUUACCCAAUCCCGACACGGGGAGGUAGUGACAAUAAAUACUGAUGGUGGGUUCUUUUGGAUCUACCAAUUGGAAUGAGUACAAUUUAAAUCCCUUAACGAGGAACAAUUGGAGGGCAAGUCUGGUGCCAGCAGCCGCGGUAAUUCCAGCUCCAAUAGCGUAUAUUAAAGUUGUUGCAGUUAAAAAGCUCGUAGUUGAACUUUGGGUCUGGCUGAUCUGUCCUCCUAAUCGAGCGCACGGAUUCGGUCGGACCUUUCCUUCUGGGGAACCCGAUGCCCUUCACUGGGCGUCGUGGGGAACCAGGACUUUUACCUUGAAAAAAUUAGAGUGUUCAAAGCAGGCCUUUGCUCGAAUACAUUAGCAUGGAAUAAUAGAAUAGGACAUCGGUUCUAUUUUGUUGGUUUCUAGGACCGCCGUAAU
rnacentral:rRNA from 1 species